rnacentral:lncRNA from 1 species
AGGAUAUAGACCUCACCUCUUAAUGGAAGAGUUGCAAGGUUCUGGAAAAACAUACAAAAUGGAAAAUAUUAUUCUAUCCAUUUUUGUAGAUCAAAUGUUUUCCCAGAAAUUUCUGCUGGAUUCUUUCUCAUUUUCACACACAAAGCAUCAACAAUUCCUAACAGGCCUGACAGCAAAAUAUACCCCAAACUUGAUCUGUGCUGACGUCACCUCAACACUAUUCCCACCUUAAUCCAUCCCUACCUGGAUUAGAACAAAGCCUGUGAAGAAGCUUUCUCAUAGCCAAUGUAGCCCAUGUGUCCUAUUAUUUAUAUAUUAGCCAUUGAGAGCUUUGAAAAAAUGUAAAUUUGCUCCUAUCCCCGUUCAUUUUAGAACCAUCCAAUGGCUUCCUAUUAUGCUAAGAAUAAAUGCCUAAUCCCUAAAUGUGACCCCAAAACUCUCCAUAUUUGUGGCCUGUUUACCCUUCUCACUUCUUCUUCAGGCUUCUCCCCCCCACACUCACAGUGUUCUUCCUCUUCUCCCUUAAAUACCUGGGUGUGUCUCUGAUCCCAAAUCUCUUCAUACUCACUCUGUUCCAUUAUUCAGAUCUCUGCUCACAAAGCAUCUUAUCAGACCACCCAACAUAAAAGUGCAUCUACUCAGUCACCUGACCCUCCUUUAUUUUUC